rnacentral:lncRNA from 1 species
CGGUAAGUAACUACCACAAUCAUGUACAUAUUUCUUCUAUUUGUUUGUUUUUUUUAUUUGUUUUUCAAGAGGAAGAGUUCUCUUAAUAAAAGAUGGGUUGAUCUUUUUUUUCUUUUGUAAUUUUUUGCAUAGCAGAUGAUGUUAUCCGGAGGAAAUACUGGACCUACGCUUAUGGAACCGGAGAGGUUGAGUAAUAAUAUUGGAGGUGGAGGAGAAGAAGAAGGCAUGUCAUCUGAAUCUGCUAUCUCCACCACCUGCAAUAGUGCUCUCAGUCUCUCUCCCUCUCUUGGAGAUGACUCCGACGACGUCACUUUAUCUCUCAAACUGGGGUGAGCUAGCCUACUUUUGCUUUGCUAUAUAUUUCCUAUUUAUAUACAUAUCUAUAUAUAUGUAUAUUAUUUAUGUUGCGUAUGUCUCUUUGCUUUUUAAGUUUUGAUAAGAUGAGAAUUCAGAGAAGAUAUGCUUGCUUUAUUUAGAAAAAUGAAUACCACAGGGUGUCGUGUAACAAAGAUAUUUUCCCUUCCUGGUGCGGAGAGAAGAUAUGUUUGCUUUUAGAUUUAUUUCUCUACUUGUCAACUUGAUUCUGCGUUUCAUUUUCAACUCUAGCAAACCAAAGCGUUGGAUUUUUUGUCGACAAUAUUUUUUUAUGAUAGAAAUGUCAAGUCAUCAUGAAUUCUAGAUACUUGUACAAAGCCAGGUGCACGAUGAGAGUUUUUUUCCCAUCUGCUUCAAUGUGGUGUAAGUGCUCGUUUGGGCCCAACUUUUUCACCUCAUUGGGGCCCAAAGUUUUGGGCUUGCUUCGAUUGAAGAUGUUUUAGGGUUUGUAGAGCAAGUUUCUUUUGAGGUCUGUCUUUGGGGCCAUUUCAUUUUUUGUGCUUAUUUAAAUUGAAAGAAGUUAGUGACUUCCACCGAAAUUUCUCUCCCUCGACUAAAAUACGAGAGAAAAUGUAUUCCACUCUCCCUCGACUAAAAUAGCAUAACCUGCACGAGGCAUGUACAACUUAAAAGUUAAAACAUCUCCACCAACGUAUCUUGAUGCGCAGUUGCAUUCAUGGUAUUUUAAUUAUCCUUCACCAUUUUAAUAAAUUUGCUUAUCGUUUUACUAUGAAUUUCAGGCUUUCCUAAUUUCUCUGGUUAAGAAGUGGAGAACGAUAAGAGUUUACUCUCCUUGUAGCUAAAUAAAGAAAGUCGAGGUAUUAUAAGAUAUCAGUGAUUGUGUGUGUUAACUCGACUUUGUUUUGUAUCUAAACCUAUGUAUUACGUCCAGCCUGACAAAUUGCGCUUUGACUUGUAUUGUAUUUAGAACUUUGUAUCAAAAUAGUCUGCAUGGAGACUCUUGUGGAUUUUGUAUUGCUUCAAUGUCACAGCACAGGAUAACGUUACGAAAGGAUUAUGAGGUCUUGUUUGGUUGGUGGGUCAGUGUCAUAGACAUUAUUUAUUUAGACUAUUACAACUCAUGUCACGAAACUUAAACUAGACAAAAAGAAGGUAACCAAAUCAAUUUUGAAUGAUUACCUGCAUAUUUCCUAAAGAUUACAUAAUAGUAUAUUCGCGAGAUUCGUAUUUUUUUCGUGGAUUAAAUGCGUAGAAGUCGACAGGGGGAAGAUAAAGACAAAGCCAAGUGUCGCAUGGUGACAUGACAGCGCAUGACCUGUGUCAAAGGAGUUAAAAGCCCCUGCAUAAAUAUCUUUUUUUGUGUUCUUUUUCUUUUUUGGUAGCCUGACACGUAAUAAGAAUUAAACCGACAACUUUUUAAAACAAACUAAACUUAGAUGUAAGACGCCACAUUUUCUAUUCCCACGUUACAAAAUCAACGGUGGAGAUUGCAUUCAUCAACGUCGAGAGCAUCUGUGCCCGUCGAUUCGCUCAGGUUUGUUAACUUGUUUGCCCAGAGGAUACCCAAAGUAAAGCACAGGAUAAUAGAAAAAUAUAUUUUUUUCCAUAAAAGGGAAAAUUCAAUUUAAAUCCUUUCCUUUCUUGAACAGCCAGCCAUUUCUCUCUCUCGUUCUCCUAGUUUUUCUGUACGCACAACUUCAGACCCUGAAGGCCCCAAAAGAAGGUAAACGUUAAACGAAGAGGAAAACCCAUAAAUUAAUUAAUUAGGGUUCUUCUCCUCCUCUUCUUCUUCUUCUUUGUGCUCUGGUGCUCUGGUGCUCUGGUGCUCUGGUGCUCUAGUGCUCUAGGCAUGUUGUUGUGAACUAUUGACCUAUUUCGGUUGGUGGGUUUUUCCGGGUUUUGUUCACAUAGAUCUGGGGGCCAUUAAAUGUUUAAAAUUUAUAGAAGAAACCCAGAAAAUAUUUUGUAGUUUUUGAGUGUAUGAACAUAAUAAUAUAUGUGAAAAGUGGUUGGUUUGAAUUUUUUUGAAGGGAGAUGGUGAAAAUGAUGAGGGAGAAGAUCAAGAUCAAGAAGAUUGACUACCUGCCAGCAAGGCAGGUGACCUUCUCAAAGAGGAGAAGAGGGAUCUUCAAGAAAGCUGCAGAGCUAUCUGUUCUGUGUGAAUCUGAGGUGGCAGUUGUCAUCUUUUCUGCUACUGGCAAGCUUUUUGAUUAUUCAAGCUCAAGGUACCAGCAACACCCACCCCUAUACCUUAUAAUUCUUUUGACUUUUCCUUCCUUGAAAAAAUAACCAAUAUGUAUGAUCAUGGUGUCUCUGAAGUCUGAUGACUUGACUUCUCUCUAUGUGGGAGAGGGAGAGGGAGAGAUUCUGAGAUUCAGUCAUUUGGGUAGAAAUAUAUUUAGAGGAGAGGGAGGGUGCCUUUCUGGAAAUUCCCUGUCCUUCCUGAAAUUCCGUGGUUUGAACUGAGCUCACAGACAUUAUUUAUUGUGUCUAAACUUCCGAAAGAAAAAAAGGAGAAUCCAGAAGCUUAGAGAGAGAGAGAGAGAGAGUCAGUCUUGUAGAUGAUACUUUUAGAUAUUACUUUUUUGGGGUCGAUUUUUACUUUUAGAUAUACUCUGUCUCAAAGGCAACUAGUUCGAGGGUUACUACCUUGUAUAUAUACCACUCCAAGAAAAUAGUCUAUUUUUGAUAAAGAAAACUUCUAGUUAGGUGUCCCAGUUUGAGAAACAUUAUUUUUUUAGUUUUCCAUGUUUUUCAUGCAAGAUGUGGUGUAUAUAUGGUGAUGUUCUUUUUUACGUGCAAUCAAUUUUGUUUACCAUAUGCUAAACUCUGUAUAUCUUGUUCGGUAACUGGUUUUCAUAUAUACUCGCAUAGUUUAGUAUGUUGCUGCUUCAAUAUCAUGUCCCACCUAACACAUAUUGGUAAUAGAUAAUAUAUGAAAUCUUAGGUCGCGCUUAUACAGUGAAGAAUAUCCCUGUCCAAGGAGCUAAAAUUAAUGGUUCCCUUAUGAGAGAUACGGUAUGUUAGAUCAUCAGUCGAAUCAUACACUCAAACAACAAUACAGAUCACCAAUUUUAGAUUCAUAGUCUGACCACAUAAAAUGAUAAAUUUGCUAAUAAAAUAGCAUUUUACUCUUUACCAUAUAUAUACAUCUAUUUGUAUAUAUAUUAUCCUUUGAACUUAAGAUAGUGGCGGGUUGUGUUUGAAAAGGUGUCAAUUCAUUUUCCCCACCUAAACUACAAAAUGCCAGUUUGGCCAAGGGGAAAGUAGCACCCAACUCCUUAUAAGCUUUCGUUAGGUUUCUCAACUUCCAAAAAUUAUUGUGGGACAUUUCUUCACAUUCUCACACGCCCCCUCACGUGUGGCGACAUUUCAAGCCUAACACGUGGACAUCACAUUAGGUGACGUAGAGCAAGUGUGGACAUUGGGCUUCACACGUGAACAAACCCGCUAUGAUACCAUAAAGGAAGUUGAGGUUUCACCCCAAAAUCAAUUGGCCAAUAGGAGGAGUAACCCAACUCCUUAUAAGGCCGUGCUAAGUUUCUCUAACUUUCCAAUGUGGGACAUUUCUUCACAUUCUCACAGUUACAUUGAAUUAUGUGAUUUGUAGUUUUCUUACUAGGAAUAAAGUGAUAUGAUGAUAACUUGGGAAUUCAUCAUAGAAGCCUUGAAGACUUUCAGCAGGAAUAUGCAUGCAUGCUUUCCAAUAAGGCAAUGGGUGGUGGAGCCAUGACCAUUACAUGUUUUUGCCAUGAUUGCAUGAAAGAUUUUGUUAAAACCUAGUUUCAUACUUAGAUGUGCAUGCAUGAGAGGGAGGGUGAGAAUGAAAUGUUAACUAUGGAAUACGAAUUUAAAUAAGGUCAUGUGCUUCCUUUCAGUUAACAAAAAUAAUUGCACAUUGUAAGCGCUGGUCAUUUAUAUUUAAUUAAAAAAAACCUAGAAAUACUACCUCUAAGGUGGUCUUCUUUAACCCAAAAUACACUCCAUAUAUAAAAAGAAUACUCUUAUAUGGCGAUGGUUUUUUUUAUAAAAAUAUUCUGUAUUGUGUGCACGAAUUAACAAUUUUUUUUUUUAAUUUAAAAAAAGUUAUCAUCUAAAAGCUACAUCUAUUUGCGUUGGUUAUUAUCGAACAACAUUAAAAGACAGAGAAAUCAAAACUGUAAGUAACAAACACGUACUAAUGGAGGUCUUUAAUUCUUUAUGUCAGAGUGCAAUUUCUAAUCAAUUUCCGUUGUAAAUUUAAUUUAAAUGUUAAUUUUCUAGGUUUCUGGGCCUAAUUUGUCUACUUUUUUUAUUUUUUCUAUUUUUAAAAGUUUUUCUAAUUGUAUUUCUAUUAAAGCUCUCGAUAUUGCAUUCCAUGUUUCCAUUUGUGCAUGUGUACUUGCAACCAAUGCAUAAGCCAUAAAACGAUCUUGCAUUGAAACUAAAGAAGAUUUUGCUUUGCAUUAUUUUUCAAACUUUUCCAAGUUUCCAAGUAGAGCAAUGUGUCAAACGUUUCCAAGUAAAGGUUCCAUGAGACUCAUCCAUUCUUAAUGCACGGGGCAGAGGUUGAAGUCUAAAACCUAUACAUGACCUAGCCCGAAGCGGAUAGCUUUUCUUAAGGUUUUUAAGGGUUUAGUAAUGAUUCAUCUUUGCAUGGUAGCCUACCAAACCUAACAAUAUAUUCAAAGCAUAUUAGUCGACUUGAUGGUCUCAGAGUUGACGUCAGAGGAACUGUGACUAAGAUUUUUGAGGCCCACUUCUUAUCAGUUGACUUGAUACGUGGGUUUGCUUUGCUUUGUGUUCGAAAAUAUCUCAGCUGCUAUUGAAGGAAUUUGACUUGACGUUUUCAUUUGCGAUAUGUGAUUUGUGUGUUUUAAAGCCAAGCUGAUAUUUUUUUUAUUUUUUAUUUUUUUGGUUUGGGGGGAGGGGGUUCUUAGCUUAUUGCAUGCAUGUGUAGUUUGGUUACUGUUGAUAUUACUUUUUGUAAUAAAUUCUAAUGAAAUAGGUAAUAUAUUCUUUGUACUUGGUUUCUCUUGAGAUGAUUAGUCCCUUUCUUGGGUCUGCAAUAUAUAAUUGGAGGAAAUCAAAUUUUGGGUCUGCAGAAAAUUGGAAAUCAAAGUUUGCAUUAUAAUUGAAACUGAAAUUUCUCUGAUAUCUGGUUAUGUUAGUUAUAGAAACCAAAGUCAGAAAAUAAUUCAAUCAAAAGCCAUGCACACAUAUCAUACAAUGAUAUCAUUUAUUAGUCUUAUACAAAAAAAAUAAAAAUAAAUAAACAUGAGUGUAUCUCUGUGUUUGCAAACCAGAAGUUUGAAUAAUGGGGGUUAAAUUCUUUUCCAUGUUUUUGUUUCUCAUGUAUGCUUAGUCACGUUAAUUUUUCUGUCUAAUAAUUUACUAGUGAACAUGCCAAUUGAUUGUUUUUUUUAAUCCUUUUCUGUUGUGAAGUAUCAAGGAUGUUAUUGAAAGGUACGAAGUGCGCACAAAUGGUGUCGAAAAAUCGGAUGAACAGUCUCUUGAGCUGCAGGUAAAUGAGUUCAAUGAUUUUCCCUUUCCCCCUUUUAAUUGUUCUGCAAUUAAUUGUAACAUACUCUGUGAUCUGCACUUUGGAGCUUCAAAAUGUAUCUCUAUAGCAUCCGACGGUUCUGAUUGUUUGAACAUAGAUAAAAAAAGCAUUGUCAGACUCAUGUAUAUGCAUGCAGCAGGGUCGGCCUCUUGGGCUAAAUAUAUAUAGGUGGCUUUGAUAAGUCCCAACUCUAGUGGGACUUCAUCUGGUGUACAUAAAGAAUUAGCCAAUGAAAAAUUGGAACAUAGAAUCAUCAUCAAAUAUCAAUUAUUAUUUACUUUUACCGUUGGUUGUUUUCCAAGCGUUCCUUUUUUUCAUUUUUAAUUAUGCUAAAGGUAGAGUGUGAAGUAUUGUAACCAUUUGAGUUACAAAUUCAUUGUUUUUCAAACUUUAGUUUUAGGGGCAUGCAGCUGAUUUAAUUUCUUAUGAUAGUUGAGUUGGAGACUUCUAUUGAAUCGAUAUUACAGCCUCCUAGAGUAUCAGUUUUUUCUCCCUAAUUUUAAUAACUUAUUGGUUUAGAAAAAAGAAAAGGAACGAUUUUACUUUUUUGUUUUGAAAUGAGUGAUUUUCUGUCCAAAAUGUAGUACGAUUUUACUAUUAUGUUUUGACAAUAUUGAUUAGGGGUGGGAGGCCAUAGGCUUAAGUACAUCAGUUAAAGGUAACCAAUAACCGUAGCUCUCACGCAGCUGAAAACAGAGACCAACCGCACUCGCAUCUAGGCUCUCACACCGCAAUCACAUUAAGGGGAGGAGCUCCACCCCCCUUCUAACGUCCUCGUUGGCCCACUCUAUCUACACUGACUCGGUGGUAGCCUUUUACUUUCUUUGAGGCGGCUUCACUCAACUAUCAGUAUUCAGUGAUCAAUAUCAUGCCCAUACAUAACACCGAUCAUCUUAAUCCAAUGUAUAGGUCACCCCUUUUGUGGAAUUGGGCCCAGUUGCGUGGUGAACUCAGGCUUUGAUACCAAAUGUUAAGAACUCAUGGGUAGAAUUUGCCCUUAAAAACCGGCUUGUAAGGAAAGGAUGCCCUUGAACUCUUAAACCAUUCUAUAGGAUAUGCUCUUUUUCCAAUGUGGGAUCUUGAGUCCUAACAGACGGCUAAUCUUUGCCCCCCUCUAUUUUAAGCCCCUAUGUCUCUCAUCUCCUCUAAUUUCCCUUCUCCUCCUCUCAUCCCCUCACCCACACACCAGUUCCUUUCUCUCCCCCUUCCAUGAGAUUUGAAACCCUAAAAUCCUCCUCUCCCCUUACGAUUUUCUUAGUCUAUUGGCUUGUUGCAGCUGCUUCUCCCUCCAACCCACCCUCAUAUCUGGCUUUUGCUAUGGACGUGUGGUGGACUAUGUCAUUUAAUGGUCAAUUUUGACCCCCCCUGGAUCACUUGAGUAUGAUGAAUGUUGGUGGCUUGCUCCUCCAAAUCCAUGCUAUACAAAUCCUUGUUGGUUUCUUUGGACAUUCUCCUUCUAACAGCGGCGGCGGCGGCGUCGAUUCUGUUUUUCUGUUUUGGGCCUAGAAUUGGGCUUUUAUUUUCUUUUAUUGGUUGAGCCCUUGUUUCUCUCUUUUUGACUUUGUAUUGGGUUUUAUGCCAUAGUAGUUAUGAUAUUUAGAACAUACAAUCCCGAUCUCUUGGACUACAGGGGUGCAAGAGUUAUGCCAUUAAUUUCUGUCAUAAUAAUUAUGAUAUUUAGAACAUGCCUCUGUUCCAAAACUGUAAACCAUAAAUAUUUAGAACAUCAACGCAUUCCACAAAUCAUGUCUCCACCUACAAAUCACACUAAACUUCACCCAAAACCGUAAAUAUGCCUCUAUUCCAGGUAUAGCCACCUCAAAACUUGUAAUCGAGGUUCCUAGAAACUUCAUACCUCUAGUCCAGGUAAUUAAACCCAUAAGCCACCUCUAGUCCAGAUAAUGAAAUCCAUAAGUUACCUCUAGUAUAGGUAAAAAUGAAACCUCCACAACAUAUAUAGUCACACCAAAGUAUAUUGAGAUGAAACUCCAUUAACAAAUGCUUUGAAAAACCUAAGAAAAAAUGCUGAAUUUAUCAAGGGUAAAAUUGCCAUAUUUGUUUCAAACUAGCAUGAUUGUAGGAGAUGCCUAAAUUUUAGGGAGGUGCUUUCAUAGACUUCCAUUUCUGGAAGUGGCAUACACUGUUAAUUCAUUAAAAAUUGUGGACAUACAUGGUGGUUGGACUACAAUUGAAAAAGUAGAGCAUGUGGACUGCCCCAUAAUUUUUCCCACUUGAAUUCAUCCCAAUCGUGUCCUACAUCACAUAUUGUGCGUCUCUAUCAACGCUUACAUACUUGCAGAGAUCCAAACCUUGAAAGUUGUCUAAUCUCUCUAGGAACCCCAAACCUCUAGACGGUGACAAACUCUCACUUUGAUUUCAUUUGAGGCUUAGCCCCUACAUAGCCUUUUUUAAGUAGGCUCACAGAGAACCCUAAUUUUGUUAGCUACCUAAAUCCUGAAGAAACUAGGAAAUCAAAAAUACCCAGAACGACCUCAAAACCCCAUGAAGAGAACAGAAAACAAGCAGCACAGUACAGUCCCCAUAAAAAUCACCUUGCCUGAAUGUAUACAAUAUUCCCACACGAAAAAAAACUGUAAACACGGGUUGAAGAACUCCAAAUUUAGAGCUGCUGCACAAGACUAACAUGAAUACUUAGGUCAAAAUUUCAUUAAAUUCUUUAUCUCUAUAGAAGUAGAGUGGCAUUGCCAUAAAGUCCACCAAGGAUAAAAAAAAUAAGUAUCUUAAGCUCUAAUAUUUGACCUAGCAAUAUCAUGGCCUAUGGAGGACUUUGAUUAUGCGAUUUUAACGUGCCAUCUUCCAAUAAAGUAAGAGUUGGGAUACCCUAUGUGUUAAUAUUGUGCUUUAGAUUUAAUCUGUUACCUCAAUUUAAUCAGUACAAGUUCUUAUUCUAUUUGCCUCAAUCGAAAAUUCGAAUUUCUGCGAGUUGGGUUUGUUGCUGUUAAUUAAUUCCCUAAGUUUUUCAAAGGUAUUAAUGACUACGACAAAUUGUAAAUCCAUGUUCUUGUAUGUUCAAGUAAUUCCAUUUCAAAAAAAAUAUUGUAAUCCUUUUUUUUUUUUUUUUUUUUUCCCAUUAUGUUGUUUUUUUGUUUCUUUACGGGGCUGACGUUUAAAAGCUUUUCAUGUAACAGAGACAGAUUAAAUUCUCUAAAUGAUGGUUCCAAUAUUUCUCAUUUUAGCUGGAGAAUGAAAACCACACCAAACUCAGUACGGAACUUGAGGAGAAGAACCGCCAGCUGAGGUACAAAUUUAUUAAAUCAUCAUGAACUUGUAAGAUAUAUGUGGCUGUUUAGCUGGUAUUGUUGUUUGAUGUUUCUGCUGGAAUUGGACUGGCUUGCAACAGGCAGAUGAAAGGUGAGGAUCUUGAAGAGCUGGAUCUGGAUGAGUUGCUGAAGUUGGAACAACUGGUGGAAGCAACCCUUGUCCGUGUGAUGGAAACUAAGGUCUGCCCCUUGUGUAUGCAGAGUAUAUUUUAAUUGCUCUGUGUUGUGAAAAGCAAAUAAACUAACAUCUAAAUGCAAAUUUCAGGAAGAACUGAUUAUGAGUGAUAUUGUGGCACUUGAGAAAAAGGUUAGAUGAUUGAUACGUACUCUGUAAAUGAAAACAAAUUUCAGCAUAAAUAAUCAGCAUAAAUAAUCAUAACAAAGUUUGGCUCUGGUUUUCUCUUGCAUGCACCAACUAUAAUUUCAGGGAACUGAGCUGGUAGAAGCCAACAAUCAGAUGGUGAUGUUAAGGGAGAGGGUAAGCAACAUAUAUAUUGUUCUUAAUAAAAGAUGGGUUGAUCCUUUUUUCUUUUUUUAAAAUAAAUAUUUUGUAUUUUUUGCAUAGCAGAUGGUGAUGUUAUCCAAAAGAAAUACUGGACCUGCGCUUAUGGAGCCAUCUGAAUCUGCUACCUCCACCAGCUGCAACAGUGCUCUCAGUCUCUCUCUUGAAGAUGACUGUUCCGACGACGUCGUUUUAUCUCUCAAACUGGGGUGAGCUAGCUUUCUUUUGCUUUGCUAUUUGUGUAUAUAUAUAUCUUUGCUUUUUAAGUUUGAUGAGAUCAGAGAAUAGAAGUUUUAGAAUUUUGAAUACUCGGUCGGUUGUCGUGCAAUACAGAACAACUAGGAUAUUUUCUGUACUUGUCAACUUGAUUCUGGGUUUCAAUUUUAACUUUACCAAACCAAAAAUAUUGGAUGUUUUCUGUACUUGACAAUAUUUUUUUAUUAUAGAAAUGUUAUUUGAAAGUCAUCAUGAGUUUCAGAUAUUUACAGUAAUAUGUUUUUGGAAAAAAGAUAUAUCAUUUGGGGCUAACCAAAGUGUUUUCACCUCUUUACCACUUACCCUCCCAAGCAUUUUAAUUAUUCAUGGUAUUUUAUUUAUUCUUCACCAUUUUUAAUAAAUUUUCUUUUCACUUUACUAUGAAUUUCAGGCGUCCCUAAUUUCCUUGGUUAAGAAGUGGAGAAAGAUGAAAGUUUACUCUCCUUAUAGCUAAAUAAAGAAAGUUGUGGUAUUGUGAGAUAUCGAUGAUUGUGUGUUUUAAUUUGAUAGCAGAUUGAAAAUAUUGAAGGGAGAGUAACUUUGUGUUGUAUCAAAACAUGUGUAUUACAUGCAACCUGUGACAUAUUGCUCUUUGACUUUGUAUUGUAUUUAGAACUCUGUAUCAAUGCAGCCUGCGUGGAGAGACUUGUUAAUUUUGUAUUGUUUGGGUUAUCAAUGUCACACAGGCUAACGGUACGCGCGGGUCGUAGACCGAUGUGCUUAAAGACUUAGAUGUCUUUCUUCAUUGUUUUCACGUUACAAAGCUCAUUUCAAGAUAUCGUGAAGUUUAGUCCCACGAAUGACAUUAUAGGUAAAAUUGUUUAUUUAUACUAUUACAACUCAUGUACACCAAAACUUAAACCAGACAAAAACAAGUGAAAUAAAUUUUUAAUGUAGGAACCAGAAUGUUUAAGAAGAAACUCAUAUAAUUGUCUGCGUGGAUUAAAUCAACACAAGUGGCCUGGGGAAAGUAACCUGAGCAAGAUAAAGACGAAGCCAUGUGUCAUGGUGGGCUCAAUCAAGUGGCUUGACAGCGCAUGACCUGUGUCAAAGUGCCAUCCUCCACACCCAAAAAAAAAAAAAAAAUUUCUUCUUUCCUUUGUAGCCUGACACGUAAUAAGAAUUUUACCGACAGAAAAAACAAAACUUAGAUAUUUCUGACAAACUCCUUCACAAAAAGUCAGAUGCCACAUUUUCUCAAGUCACAUAUCAACGGUGGAGAUUGCAUUCAUCAACGUCAACAGCAUCUGUGCCCGUCGAUUUGCUCAGGUUUCUUAACCUUGUUUCCCCAGAAGAUAAUAGAAGAAUAUAUUUUUCCAUAUAAAGGAAAAUUCAUAAAUCAUUUCAUUUCCUUUCUUGACCAACAACAAGACAGCAGCAGCAGCAGCCAUUUCUCUCUCUCAUUUCGAACGCAGACCCCGAAACCCACCAACGAAGGUAAACAUUAAACAAAGAGGAAAACCCAGAAUUUAAUUCAUUAGGGUUCUUCUCCUCCUCUUCUUCUUCUUCUUUGUGUUUUGGGUGGUGGGUUUUUCUGGGUUUUGUUCAUUUAGAUCUGGGAACCAUUAAAAGUUUAAAAUUGAGAAGAAACCCAGAAAAUAUUGUAUAGUUUUUGAGUGUAUGUGAAAAGUGGUUGGUUUGAAUUUUUUUGAAGAUGAUGAGGAAUAAGAUCAAGAUCAAGAAGAUUGACUACUUGCCUGCAAGGCAGGUGACCUUCUCAAAAAGGAGAAGAGGGCUCUUCAAGAAAGCUGCAGAGCUAUCUGUUCUGUGUGAAUCUGAGGUGGCAGUUGUCAUCUUUUCUGCUACUGGCAAGCUUUUUGAUUAUUCAAGCUCAAGGUACCAGCAACAUACCUUAUAAUUAUUUUGACUUUUCCUUCCUUGAAAAAAUAACAAUAUGUAUGAUCAUGAUGUCUCUGAAGUCUGAUGACUUCACUUCUCUCUGUGUGGGUGAGAGAGAGAGAGAGGGGGAGGGAGAUUCUGAGAUCCAGUCAUUUGGUUAGAAAUAUAUUUAGAGGAGAGGGAGAGUGCCUUUAUGGAAAUUUCCUGUCCUUCCAGAAAUUCCAUGGUUUGAACUGUGCAAACAGACAUUAUUUAUUGUAUCUAAGCUUCCAACAGAAAAAAUGGAGAAUCCAGAAGCUUCCAGAGAGACUUUUAGAUAGGUUUUUUUUCUGUUGUCGUCGAAAUAUACUUUUAGAUAGUCAUACUCUGUUUCAAAAAAACCUAGUUCGAGGGUCACUACCUUGUAUAUCUAUCCACUUAAGGAAAAUAAAGUCUGCUUUUGACUAAGACAACUUCUGGAAAGAUGUGGUGUGUAUGAUGGUGAUGUUCUUUUCUUGUACUACAUGCAUGCAUAUGUAAAACUGUGUACGUAUAUAUCUUGUUUAGCAAAUUCUGUAAUCUUAAACCCUUAUACACAAGUAUAUCUCGCUGCUUCAAUCUCAUCCUUUCCCACCUAUCACAUGUUGGUAAUAGAUAUUAUAUAAUAUCUUAGGUGGGGCCUAUACAAUGAAGAAUAUCAUUGUCCAAGUCCAAAUUAAAAUUAAUGUUCCCUUGUGAGAGACACGAUAUGUUAGACCAUCAAUCGAAUCAUACACUCAAAUAAUAUAACAGACUUUUUUUAAAUUCAUAGUUUAACCACAUAAAAUGAUAGUGACUAUAGCUAGUGAGUGAGUAUUCGACCCUUUACAAUAUGUAUAUACAUCUAUAUGUAUAUAUGUUAUCCUUCGAACAUUCUUCCCACUUAAAUUAAUGUUCUCUUGUGAGAGACACGAUAUAUUAGACCAUCAAUCGAAUCAUACACUCAAACAAGAAAGCAGAUUAACAAUUCUAGAUUCGUAGUCUGAUCACAGGAAAUGUUAGAUAAUCUAGCUAGUAAGAGAGUAUUUAACUCUUUACCAUAUAUAUACAUAUCUAUAUGUAUCUUAUCCAUCGAAGUUAAGAUAUUUGUGGGUUGUGUUUGAAAAGGACCUAAAAGACAAAAUGCCCGUACAUUAAUGUGGUUGCAAACAUUGAAUUAUAUGUUUGUAAUUUUCUUACUAGGAAUAAAGUGGUAUGAUGAUAACUUGAGAAUUCAUCAUAGAAGCCUUGAAGACUUUCAGCAGGAAUAUGCAUGCAUGCUUUCAACUAGGGCAAUGGGUGGUGGAGCUAUGACCAUAACAUGUUUUUGCCAUGGAAUAAGAAUUAGAUGUGCAUGCAUGAGAGGAAGGAAAGAGAGGGAGGGUGAGAAUGAAAUGUUAACUAUGGAAUAAGAAUUUAAAUAAGGUCACGCAUCCUUUCAUUUAUAUUUUUUAAAAAACACACAAACUAGAAAUACCACCUCCAAAGUGGUCUUCUUUAACCCAAAAAUAUACUCUUAAGGUGGUCUUAUAUGGCGAUACUAUUUGCAAGAGAGUGAAUGUCGUUAAACAUUUUUUUUUUUUUUUUUUUUAAAAAAAAAGCUUUGAUACAAAUGGAGGUGUCAGUUAAAAAUAACAAAUUGGAGACGACAUUUAAUUGUUUAUGUCUGUAUGCAAUUUCUAAUCAGUUUCCUUUAAAAGUUAUUUUUCUAGGUUUCCUAAUUGACAUGUUAUAUGCAAAGUUAUUUUAUAUAUUUUUUUAAAGGUUUUCUAAUUGUAUUUAUAUUCAAGUACCAGAGUACUUGCAACCAAAACAAAAACCGUGAAAUGAAUAUUUUACUAUUACAUUAUUUUUCAAACUUCUCGAAGUUUCCUAGUAGAGCAAUAUUGGUCCGAAUUCUCCAAGUUUGGAAAAGUAUUGCUCUUGGAUAUUAUACUAUAUUUUCAAAGAUUUAUUUAGUAUUGUGUCGAAAUAUUUAUAUAGGAACUCCAAAGUCAUGUGUGUUCAUGAGACUUGCCCAAUAUUAUUAUUAAGUUUUGAGAUGUUUCAUUCAUAUUUGUAUUUUGAAACUCUUAAGGGCUUGUUUAGCGAGGCCAUGUUAUAACAUGUUGGAGUCCUUAGCCACUUACACCAAGUUUUCUUCCCAUUUUAGUCGGUUCACCACUUCAUAGUACAUCUUCUUCCCAUGUCUUAGGUCCACCACUCCCUAUGUUGUCACUUGGUUGUUUAAUGUUUUACAUGAUUCCAAGUUUUCUACUAGAUUUUCAUGUCCUAUUAGCCUAGCUUUGGGGAGUCUAGAUCCCCUUGUUCCAGUGGGAUAAUACUAUUCACUACAAGGGUGACUUUUUAAGAAAGUAACAAUCCUUUAGACCGAUAAGGAUGAUAAAUCAAGCUCAUAAUGUUGGUGCUAUGACUACCUAUGCAAGUACCAAAAAUGGGUCAAUUAAGGAGGUAGAAGUCGUAUGAUGAUUUUAGUCUUUCUAGAUGAUGCGAACAAAAUUCAAGAGCCGUGCGUCCUGUAAAAAGCUAGAUGAAGAUGGCUAAAACACUUGUUCGAGACACUACUUUGGACCUUUAAUAUUUUCUUCAAUUCUGUAAUUUGGUUGAAAAUACUUACAUUGUGGGCGUCUACUUGCAUUAAUGACGCAUCGUGACAAUCGGAUGACUAAAGAUUUAGCUUAAAACACACAACUUUGGAAUCCACCAUGAAGUAGUGAGGAAACCUUAAGUUUAUUGAUAAUCUGAAAUAACAUAACCUAACCCUAGCCACAGGUUAAAAAUUCUUUAAAUACCCUAGAAGCCCUACUAAUAAACAAGGAAUUAAAAUAGGAAAAAUUACAAAGUUUUCAAAAACUUAUAAGACAUAAAAACUGGAUUUUGGGUUGUUAACGAUCUCGGAUGCCUGAAAAAGCUGUUCUCUUCGAAUCAAUGGGUCAUGGGCCCAAACUUGCAGCUUUCUAAGUGUGCCCUUUAGCGCGCCUCUUCAACUCUUCUUCAAUUGCCUUCGACAUCUUUUCUACAUGAAUUAAGUAUGUUCAAAGAAGAGAGUUCUUGUCUAAGAUGUCUUAACCACGUUUUAGUAUUUCGAUCUCUAAGGGCGUAUUGAGGAAUGGAGAUGAUGAUGUCGGGACAUUGUAGAAAGCUGGUGUCGGGAUGAUGGUUGUGGAUUUAUUCACCUAGUAGUGACUUUUGAAAUGUUUUGCGCAAAAUGAGUGGCUUUCUUUACCCGUUUUCUAUUCUGCCUGAUGGCUUGUGAAAAUUUUGGUACAAACACUAACUUAACUAGUAUGUGGUUUAGUAAUCAAGCAAGCAAGAUCUUAGGCAGUAGAAGUUGCCUAAGAUUGGCGAGUUUUGGUUUUCGGAUGAUUGCCAAACCACGACAAGUUGGUUUGUUUAAUGGUUCUUUCUAGCUUGGUAUGAGGUCACUCUGGGGAGCUUGAGUUUUGGUUUAAGAUUUAACAAUCAAUCUAUUAGAAGAUACAUAAGUGUAACAAUCAAUCUAUUAAUAUUCAUAGGCGCGAAAGAUUUUUCCAAUGUAUUGUUUAUCAAUCUUUUCCACCAACAUCGAAUGACCCCAUACAAGGAAAAAUGAAUUCGAAUUCAAGUAAAUCUUUUUUUUUUUUUGUCAAAUGGUGAUAUUUCAUUUCGAAACCUCGUCAAAAAUGGGGAGGGCACAAAAACUACAAAACAAAGCAACCUAGAAAGGAAGCUCACUAAUACAAUGCGUCUGAUCUCUAUUAGAGAUACGAUAUAUAAGUUGGUCUCUAAAGAUAGUCACCCUAGCAUUUUCCAUAUAUAAAUGCCUUGUGUUGUAAACUAUCUCAGUUGCUUGUUGGGUUGGUCUUUUAUAUAUAUAUAGGGACAUUCUCCAAUAAAUAUUCAUUAAAUAUGUUGGUAGUCUCUUAGGGACCGUAUAUAUAUAUAUAUAUAUAUAUAGGUUUUCUAUAAAAUAUCUAUGAAGGAAUUUGAUUUGACGUUUUGAUUUGCAUAACCAAACCAUGCGAUAAAGCCAGCAGCAAAUAGCUUCACGUUCUCAUUAUGCAUAUAAAACAAGUAUUUAUUUCAUUUCAAAAUCUCCAAAAUCAUAGUUGUGAUGUGGUCUUGAAUGAAACCCUUUUCUGAUGCUAUCAAGGAACAGUACUAAUGGUACAAAAAUAUCCAAAUCUGUAACAUAUAUAUUUUUUAAUUUGUGGGGGAAGGGAGGGCUAAAUUAGUUAAUUUGCUUUUCACUGUUGAAUUUACUUUUUUAAUAAAUCAUAGUUAGAUUAUUGCAUGCAUGUCCAAAGUGGUUGGUUAGAUUAUUGCAUGCUAUUUUUUGUAAAAACAUCUAAUGGAAUUAUUCUUUGUACUUGUUUUCUCUUGAGAUGAUUGGGUUAUUCUAUGGUGUAGCCCUUUUUUGGAUCUCCAAUAUAUAACUGGAAAAAUUCUGGGUCUGCAGAAAAUUGGAAAUCCAAUCCUGGGUUUGCUUGUAUUUUGCUUUAUAAUUGAAAAUGAAAUUAUGGGUUUGCAUUAUAAUUGGAAACCAAAUUCCAACACAAAAAGUUCUGAAUUUUUUGCAGUGGGGGGUAAGUUGUAGAUCACUCUGAUUGCUGGUUAUGUUAGUUAGAGACACUUAAGUAUGAAAAUAAUUCAAUUUUUUGGCAAGAUGCCAUCAUGCUUUAUGGCUUAGCGUUGAAGUUAUGCCAGUGAUAAAUUGCAGAUUAUCAAAACCCUGAAUUAGACAUUAGUGUGUGUGUCUUGGUGUUUGCAAACCAGAAGUUUGAAUAAUGGGGUUAAAUUCUUUUCCAUUUUUUUGUUUCUCAUGUAUGUUUUGUCACAUGUUAGUUCUUCAAUGUCUUAACAAUUUACUAGUGAACAUGCCGAUUGAUUUUUAUUUUUUUUCGUUUUUUGUUAUGAAGUACCAAGGAUGUUAUUGAAAGGUACAACGCAGACAUAAAUGGUGUCGAAAAAUUGAACAAUCAAGAGAUUGAGCUGCAGGUAAAUGAGUUCAAUGGUUACCUUUUCCGUUUCCCCCUUUUAAAUUGUUCUGCAAUUAAUGGUAACAUACUAUGUAAUCUGCACUUUGGAGCUUCAAAAUAUCUCUCUAUGUAGCAUCUGAAGGUUCUGAUUGUUUGAACAUAAAUAAAAACAUUAUUUCCUGUUACAUGCCAGACUUAUGUACAUAUGCAUGCAGCAGGGGUCGGCCUCUUGGGCUAAAUAUAUGUAGUUAGGUGGCUUUGAUAAGUCCAUUUCUAGUGGGACUUAUGAAUUUGGUCUACAGAUGGAAGGAAAUAGUAGUCUUGGGCCAAGUCCUGGUGUUGUUUUGAGAAUUAGCCAAUGAAAUAGAUUCAUCAGCAACUAUCAAUCAAUCAUAUUUUUUUUCAGCAAAAAAUACCCUGAACGAUCGCAAAACCCACAAAAAUAAAUAAUAAUAAUAAUAAUUUCCCUUGUUGCCCCAGCACCAGAAGACUCUAAACACAAAAAUUUGGAGCAGCUUAGCACAAGAAUAACAUGAAUACUUGGGUCAAAAUUUCAUUAAACUCCUUAUCUCUAUAGAAUUUGAGUAAUCAGGAAAGAAACUCUGUUUUGGUGCUAGAGUAGUGGUUGGUUGGGGAGUAAAAAUGUUGAAGUUUUUGCCCUAACAAUAUGGAUGAGUGGUAUCCUGCCAUCUUCCAAUAAAGUAAGAUUCCCCUACGUGUUAAUAUUGUGCUUUAGAUUUAAUCUGUCAUCUCAAUUUAAUCUGUCAUCUGUUCUUUUUCCAUUUGCCUUUAUCUAAGUUGGGUUUGUUGCUAUUAAUGAAAUCCCUAAGUUUUUCUAAGGUAUUAAUGACUAGGACAAAUUGUAAAUCCAUGUUCUUGUAUGUCCAAGUAAUCAUUUGAUUCCAUUUUCAAAAAUAUAUUGUAAUCCUUUUUGUUUUUUUUUCCCCUUAUAUUUUUCGAUGCUGACGUUUAUAAGCUUUUCAUUUGACAGAGACAGAUUAAAUUAUGUAAUGGUUCCCAUAUUUAUCAUUUUAGCUGGAGAAUGAAAACCACAUCAAACUGAGUAAGGAACUCGAGGAGAAGAGCCGCCAGCUGAGGUACAAAAUUCAUGAUCUUGUAAGAUAUAUGUGGCUGUUUAGCUGGUAUUGUUGUUUGAUGUAUCUGCUGAAAUUGGACGGGCUUGCAACAGGCAGAUGAAAGGUGAGGAUCUUGAAGGGCUGAAUCUGGAUGAGUUGUUGAAGUUGGAACAACUGGUGGAAGCAAGCCUUGGCCGUGUCAUGGAAACUAAGGUCUGCCCUAGCUAUUUUAUUUUCUAGUAACCAGUGCCCUAGCUUCUUCUUUUUCUUUUUCUUUUUUUUUCUUUUCUGGAUGAUUCUUGACUGAAGACAUAAGCAAUGAACCGUUAGAAUAAUAUAAAGUAGGUCUUUGUUUGAAGAAGUAUCGUCUCAGUAAAUAGGGUAUAUUUUUAUUGCUGUAUUUUGUGAAAAGCAUAGGUGUAUUCUGAGUUGUCACUAAGCUUUAUUUUCUGAAAACUAACAUCUAAAUGCUGUUCCUUUCUUUUCCAGGAAGAGCUGAUUAAGAGUGAGAUUAUGGCACUUGAAAGAAAGGUUAGAUGAUUGAUACGUACAGAUCUGUAAAUGGAAACAAACGUAAAAUAAUCACGACUUAAAAACAUAUAUAAAUUAACAUCAAUAAUCAUAACCAAGUUUGGCUUUGGUUCUCUCUUUCAUUCACUGACUAUAAUUUCAGGGAACUGAGCUAGUUGAAGCUAACAACCAGCUAAGGCAGACGGUAAGCAACUACCACAAUCAUGUACAUACUUCUUCUUACUUUUUCUUCUCCUCUUUUUGUUUUUUGAGAGGAAGAGUGCUCUUAAUAAAAGAUUAUGGGUUGAUCUUUUUUUCUCUUGUAAUUUUUUGCAUAGCAGAUGGUGAUGUUAUCCGGAGGAAAUACUGGACCUGCGCUUAUGGAUCCGGAGAGGUUGAAUAAUAAUAUUGAAGGUGGAGGAGAAGAAGAAGGCAUGUCAGCUGAAUCUGCUAUCUCCACCACCUGCAACAGUGCUGUCAGUCUCUCUCUUGAAGAUGACUCCUCCGAUGAGGUCACUUUG